rnacentral:rRNA from 1 species
GAUGAACGCUGGCGGCGUGCCUAAUACAUGCAAGUCGAGCGAACAGACGAGGAGCUUGCUCCUCUGACGUUAGCGGCGGACGGGUGAGUAACACGUGGAUAACCUACCUAUAAGACUGGGAUAACUUCGGGAAACCGGAGCUAAUACCGGAUAAUAUAUUGAACCGCAUGGUUCAAUAGUGAAAGACGGUUUUGCUGUCACUUAUAGAUGGAUCCGCGCCGCAUUAGCUAGUUGGUAAGGUAACGGCUUACCAAGGCAACGAUGCGUAGCCGACCUGAGAGGGUGAUCGGCCACACUGGAACUGAGACACGGUCCAGACUCCUACGGGAGGCAGCAGUAGGGAAUCUUCCGCAAUGGGCGAAAGCUUGACGGAGCAACGCCGCGUGAGUGAUGAAGGUCCUCGGAUCGUAAAACUCUGUUAUUAGGGAAGAACAAAUGUGUAAGUAACUAUGCACGUCUUGACAGUACCUAAUCAGAAAGCCACGGCUAACUACGUG